UGUGUGCUCGUGGCUGCACGCGCCUGUGUGUUAACAAACGUAUGUUCAAGCUUUGGUGUUGCCUCCGCCGCUGGUUUCUGGGCUUUGCUAUUCUCCUUCUGUCUGGGAAGGCCAGUCAACCAGCUAUACAGGGCUUUGCUGUCCAUAUGCCGUAAGUGUGCCCUCAUUACUCAGCUGCCGGAUUUAAAGUUUCAAAAAGUAAGAUUGCCAAGACUGUCUCUUUGGACUAGGCUUAUCAGCCUGAAAGCCGGCAAGAUGCGAACUGAUUGCUCCGUCCAUGUCCUGGCCGAGUGAGGUCUAGCUAAAGACAAGCUCUGCGCAAGAGAUUCCAGUUCCAGCAUUCCGUUCUCUGGUGUGGGAGUCAGAUGGAAACACCAGUGAGGACACGGAGCAGCAAACUUCUCCCCUUAAGCACAGGAAGCACAAGAGCACGAAGAAGAGGUCCAGCUCCUACGCUCACCUUGUGGUCACUGACACAAGGUCCUCCUGGUGGGCCCCACCUUCUAAGGCUUUCGCAGCUUCUCAGUAGAGCCACUUUGGAACCAAGCUUCAUGCAAUAUCCCCUCCAGCAGCUAUGUCGUGGCGAAGGCUCUGGGACUGUGACAGAUAUAAUGAAGAACAAGAAGAGCUGUGCAUAACCUGCAUGUUGUCUAAGAAUAAUUAGCUCGUUAACUACACUCUGCGGGCCCAACCUCACCUCGAGAUUCCGACUGCAGAAUGCACAGCACAGCAUGGUGAGCUCACUGCACAGUACAGGCUUUCCUGAGACAAGUAUGAUUUCGGCAUCAGCACUCACACUGCCGGGAAUCUUGUCAGUGCUGUGGCGUGCAGUGAAUUGUGCUGUGAGAGACCACAGAAAUCAGGGAAUGCGCUGACCAAUCACGUGUCAGAGGACUUAAGCGGGACCACAUCAGAAUUCUGGCGCAAAAUUCAGUCAUGAAAACAAGAAUUCCGCUUUGGAAUAAACAGCAAAGUAAGAAGGUCAUGUUUAUAGUAGGGCCACUUCUCAACUGUCUCAAGUCACCUUGCUGAUUACGUGCUGUGAGUCUGCGUGCACACCCACACCCACAGCGCGUGAGCCGAUAUGCCGCGAUGAGCUCGUCGUGUUUUAUACUCUCCUGCGCUGCACUCCCAUUUGCCAACUCCUGCAGUAGUAACAGGUAUCACGGAUUGUAUAUGAUGUUGUCAAACCACAUGGAAAUAUUUUUACAAUAUUCAAAUUGACAUGUCUACAAUAUGAGAUUGCUUUGUAUGUUUUACUUUCACAUACAGGGCAUCAGGUGAAAUAGAUAAUUCUGGAAAAAUUUCACCACCUACAUAAUUAGCUCUUUUAGUUAAGAUAUGACAUUAUAUCUUUAUAAGCAGUUUAUUUGUGUCUCCUGUAUAGAAAGACCUUCUGGACCUCACCACGGUCCAGAAAAGUCCACAUUUGUAAUCCCAUGGAAAAGUCACUGGAAUUCUAAUAAUCCCAGUCUACCGCUUCCAGUGCAAUGCAGGGUGCAAAUGUUUGUGGUUGUGGGGAGCCAAGGGGGCCCGAAAGUCCAAUCAGAAUAAUGACUGAGGGGAACAAAGACCUUGACCCAGAGCUGAACCUGGGUCGUGUUAAUUCUUGAAGAGGGGAGUGGCUCGGGGUGUGUCACAGGGUGGCGGGAAGUACUAAGUACUAAGUGAGCUGGGCUGGGUAGGAGGCCUGAAGUCGCCUCUGUCAUAUGCACAGAGACACGUACAGAGGGUGACCUGCGUACCACAGAUUGGGGCAGAAUCUAGUGCCUUGGGGUUGGUGCUUCAGUUUUGACGUGUGAUCGUGCCCCGAGAAGUCAUAGCCUCUUUUCUCAAGGCUCGUUCUCAGCCCGCGGCGUGCUCUCUCAGUCUAGCUCACACAGCUGGCUGAGGGCUGUAGACAGGGCGUCACUGACCUGUUGCACUGCUUCGAAUUCUACACAUCAGCACCUUGGCUAGACCCAUUCGCAUUGCGUGAAACCAAGUGAGGGGAUAAAGAAACGUCCUGGACAGCUCUGUCCACGCCAGUGCAUGGAGGCGGGCCCGAAUGCUCUUUCGGGCGGUCCCCCACAGGCAACAGUGAUGUAGCAGGGAUUUGAGCGCGGGCUCCUAACUGUGUACAUCUCUAACUGGUUGUUCUGUCAUCUUUUCCCUAAAUGUAACAUGAGCCCAAGAAAAUUUUUAGCCUAAUUUUCAACCUUCUGCUAUUUUAUCUACUCAUUUAGUACUUAUGUAGUUCACCUACUUUUUAACAUUAUUUUUAUAUUUGACUCAUUUACAUGUAUGCAAAUUGCUCAUUUCUGAGUUAAACACUAGUCAGUCUGUCCUAUUUAUUGAUUUAUCUCAGUGAUACUAGUGAUUUAACCUGGACACUUUGCUCACCAGCUCCUUUUAUUGUUUAUUUUGAGACGGGUCUCACCGAGUUGCUGAGUUACCCUUUGCGGAGUUGACUAGGAUUCUCCUGCCUGAGCAAUCUUGUGCUACCUUGCUCAGUUCAUCUUGUUUCAUGUUAGUAAGGUUGGUUGACUUAUUGUUUGUCCAGUCACUUUUUACCUGUUGCUACACUUUGGUCACUAAGAUUGCGUGUUCAGACUGGAGGGAGAGAUUCCUAACAUCAGCUCAGUCUUUCCUAUUGACUGACCCCACCACUUCCUCCCUUCCUCCCUCCCUUCCUUCCUUCCUUCCU